UGCGUCGUAAAGUGUUUUCUUUUUGCGUUCACGUUGGUGAAAAUAAAAUGCAAUUUCUCAGUGAUUUCGGAAAGUUGUGAAGUAAAAUAAUGAUAAAAUUAAGAAAAAAUCAAAUAAAAAGUAAACUUUUUGCUCGAAGCAAACGCUGGGAGUUGCAUUGGAUAAAUUUCAUCGGUGGAAGAAAAGAGUUCCAUUUUGUCUUCGGUUUUUCCGAGGCGGAGGAAUAAAAGUGCCAGGUUGCUGCCGAAAAGUGGAAAAUAGUGACGACGGAACUGACUGGUGAUUGAGGAGCAGA